UUUUAUUUACAUCAACAUGGGACUGAUUGAUAUGAAAAAAAGAAAAGAAAAAUGUGCAUUAUAGAAAAUUGAUUGUCUUUCCCUUGUCGUGUUCUAACUUUCUUCAAUCGUUUUCUCCAUCAACGCCUUCUGUCUCCCUUCCUAAAACCUAAUCCAAUUUCUACUCGAAAACCUAUGUAUUUUAUCGAAUUUCAGCAAGCCAAGAUUUGGUGCUCUAUCUUUCCACCAUAGCUCUUUCUCUCCACUCUGUUUCUGCUUUUAUGCCUCUUCUUCAGUGAGAGGAUGGUUAUUGCGUUGUUCAAUUACUCUCCGGCAAUUUGGGAGGAUGGAAAGAUUUGAGACUGAAUUUGUAUGAAUGGACAAUUUUAGAAAUAAUAAAAUGAAAAAAUAAAACUAUUUGUGUCUCAAUAA